rnacentral:misc_RNA from 1 species
CGUCAUUUCAAACCCUCAAGCUCGCGCUUGGUGCUGGGCGUCGUCCGCUAGGACGUGCCUGAAACCCGUAGGCAGCGGUGCCCGUCUCCCAGCGUAGUCAAGUUACCCGCUUCGGAGCGCGCGGUGCCGCCCGCCAGACGAACAAACAUAUCUUUCUAUGGUUUGACCUCGGAUCAGGUAGGGAUACCCGCUGAACUUAA